rnacentral:lncRNA from 1 species
CACCGUUCCCACGUGGAUGAGUUCCUGGCCCUUGGAUUCACAUCCUCAUAUCUAUUCUUGGUCAUGCAUUGUUAUGACUUAUUUUAAUGUCGAGUGUUUCGCUGUUGACCAAGCCUCACCAUACGCGCGCGCCUCUGGCUCCUUGGAUCAGCCACGUCAAUUAAUGAGCGCUGAUCCAAGCGCUGUGUUUUUUUUUAAUUUUUAAUUUCUGUUUUAAUUUUCUUUUAUUUCAAUUAUUUUCAAAAAUAUGGGACCAAUUGCAAAAAAAUUCUCUUAAAUUCUAGUUUCUAUAAAUGAUUUUUAAUUAUUUUUGUGAUUCCAUUUAAUAUUUUUUGUGAGUUAUUUCUUUUCUAAUUGUUUUUAAUUCAUUUAAAAUACUUCCCAAUAUUCAAAAAUGCCAAAAAUAUUU